GGCUUAAUACAUGCAAGUCGAGCGGGAUUGGUCAGCAAUGGCCAUGAGAGCGGCGCACGGGUGAGUAACGCGUACACGACCUACCUCUAACAGGGGGAUAGCCCUGGGAAACUGGGAUUAAUACCGCAUAUAAUUUUGACAAAUAAAGAGUUGAAAUGAAAGUUCAGGCGGUUAGAGAUGGGUGUGCGUCUGAUUAGCUAGUUGGUGAGGUAACGGCUCACCAAGGCGAUGAUCAGUAGGGGGCGUGAGAGCGUGGUCCCCCACACGGGUACUGAGACACGGACCCGACUCCUACGGGAGGCAGCAGUAAGGAAUAUUGGACAAUGGCCGCAAGGCUGAUCCAGCCAUCCAGCGUGCAGGAAGAAGGCCCUAUGGGUUGUAAACUGC
rnacentral:rRNA from 1 species